GGAAAAUUAACUUCAUCAUUUACUCUUCGGGGACUAUCUUCAAUUACAUCAAAACCGUUAUAAUCUACAAAUAUUCCAUCACCAUUGUCAUCAUUAUAGUCGUUUUCUGUUCGAUCAUGUGCCGACUCGUUGUUCAUAAUUUCAAUUUGUUCUCCACCAUCUAUUACUAAUAAACAUCCUUCAUCACCAAAAUAUUCUCGAUUCUCAACAACUUCAUUUAAAAAACUCACACAAAGCAAAGUUUCUGUACGGGCAGAUAUAAACUACUUCACAUUGUUGUCACAAUCAAUUAUAAUUGGUGCAAUUGAAGCUUUAAACAUUAUCGGGACAAGAGCUGAAAUCUCCACUUUGUAUAGACUCGUAUCGAUACUCAAUGCCUCCUUCACUUUAUCAUAUAGUUCCAUGUAAAAAAUUAUUUUUGCAACAAGAAUAGGUAUUGUUUUCCCUUUGCCAUUUUCAAAAUACUUUCAUUUCCAUGCACCUUCAACCGUCUGCUCAUAUUCAAUUGGAUAACAAACCGAUAUCCAUACCAUGUGGUUCCAUAACCUGUAAUUCAACAUAUAAAUUUCAUCAAAUUUCAAACAUCAUACAAUAUUGAUAACGAUAUGUACGUUGUCAUGGAUUUCAAAAAAAAGAUAUCUACGUCGUCCACGAUUUCAUAAAACGAUAUGCAUGUCGUUCUGUACUGAAAAAAUCAAAUGUAUAUUUCACAUGAAAACAAUGAGAAGAAUAGCCAAUCAUCCUUCACCA
rnacentral:lncRNA from 1 species